AGCAACAGGAGCCACAUGAUGAGAGAGAUGAGUUGCGGAUCGCUGAGCGAAUGUCGACCCAACAUCUAUCACCCCUUUCUGAUGGCUCCUCAACCUC
ensembl:miRNA